rnacentral:rRNA from 1 species
CCUACGGGUGACAGCAGUGAGGAAUAUUGGUCAAUGGCCGGAAGGCUGAACCAGCCAUGCCGCGUGAAGGUCAGUGCCCUAUGGGCGUUAAACUUCUUUUGUGCGGGAGCAAUAAUGGUCACGUGUGGCCAGACGAGAGUACCGUACGAAUAAGCAUCGGCUAACUCCGUGCCAGCAGCCGCGGUAAUACGGGGGAUGCAAGCGUUAUCCGGAGUUAUUGGGUUUAAAGGGUGCGUAGGCUGUGAGGUAAGUCAGCGGUGAAAUGCCCCCGCUCAACGGGGUGAAGUGCCAUUGAUACUGGCUGGCUGGAAUGUGGAUGCGGUGGGAGGAAUGUGUGGUGUAGCGGUGAAAUGCAUAGAGAUCACACAGAACACCGAUUGCGAAGGCAUCUCACGAAUCCGCGAUUGACGCUGAGGCACGAAAGCGUGGGUAUCAAACAGGAUUAGAUACCCCAGUAGUC